GACACCGAACUAAAAUCCAAAAGUGGGAGAGAUUUGUAGCAAGUGCAUAAAGAGUCAUGGGUGGGUUAAAAGUUCUACCAGAAAUGAAUGCGCUGUUAGUUCACUUUGGCACUGAAUGGAAAGCCUUUAGGGAAUGAUCAAAGCAAACGUGACGAGGGUUGAUUGCUUAGUGGAAAAGGGAACUAAUCAAAAUGGAUCGUGCGUUAUGUAUGUUUCCUGUAUGGCUUAUUGAUGAGGAGGUGAACAGAAGAAAUCAUCACUUUGGUUUAUUCAUCCUGAUGACUCUCAACCAUCGUUUUAGAGAAUGCCAUAUUUGGGUGACGCCACUCUUAUCUGAGAUGAUGAGAGAAUCGUGUUCCAUCGAUCCGUUUACAAAAUUUUCUGUGUGAAAGGUUUAUUUUGGUUAUAAUUAGUUUCAUCGAAUUUCCAGAUGGUCCUUUGAUCUCUCUAUCAUGAUAUAUACGUAACCUAACUAAUUAAUGGCUUUCAGAUUUACAUCAAAGCUAAGAACGUGUUUUUGUUGUGGUUAAUUCAUUGUAUUAAUGUAUUACCAGCGUGGUGCUGUCUUUUCCUAUUUCAAGUUUGGAAGCUUGUUCUCGUUGUUGCUCUA